ACUCCUACGGGAGGCAGCAGUGGGGAAUAUUGCACAAUGGGGGAAACCCUGAUGCAGCCAUGCCGCGUGUGUGAAGAAGGCCUUCGGGUUGUAAAGCACUUUCAGUAGGGAGGAAGGUAGUGUAGUUAACACCUGCAUUAUUUGACGUUACCUACAGAAGAAGCACCGGCUAACUCCGUGCCAGCAGCCGCGGUAAUACGGAGGGUGCGAGCGUUAAUCGGAAUUACUGGGCGUAAAGCGCAUGCAGGCGGCCUGUUAAGUCAGAUGUGAAAGCCCGGGGCUUAACCUCGGAAUUGCAUUUGAAACUGGCAGGCUAGAGUCUUGUAGAGGGGGGUAGAAUUUCAGGUGUAGCGGUGAAAUGCGUAGAGAUCUGAAGGAAUACCAGUGGCGAAGGCGGCCCCCUGGACAAAGACUGACGCUCAGAUGCGAAAGCGUGGGGAGCAAACAGGAUUAGAUACCCUGGUAGCACAGAGC
rnacentral:rRNA from 1 species